rnacentral:rRNA from 1 species
CCUACGGGUGGCAGCAGUGGGGAAUAUUGGACAAUGGGCGAAAGCCUGAUCCAGCCAUGCCGCGUGUGUGAAGAAGGCCUUCGGGUUGUAAAGCACUUUCAGUGGGGAAGAAAGCCUUGGGGCUAAUACCCUCGAGGAAGGACAUCACCCACAGAAGAAGCACCGGCUAACUCCGUGCCAGCAGCCGCGGUAAUACGGAGGGUGCGAGCGUUAAUCGGAAUUACUGGGCGUAAAGCGCGCGUAGGCGGUCUGAUAAGCCGGUUGUGAAAGCCCCGGGCUCAACCUGGGAACGGCAUCCGGAACUGUCAGGCUAGAGUGCAGGAGAGGAAGGCAGGAUCCCGGUGUAGCGGUGAAAUGCGUAGAGAUCGGGAGGAAUACCAGUGGCGAAGGCGGCCUUCUGGACUGACACUGACGCUGAGGUGCGAAAGCGUGGGUAGCAAACAGGAUUAGAUACCCCAGUAGUC